GCCGGGGGUCCCGCCGCCCCCACCGCGGGGGGCACUGCCCACGGCCCGCCCCGCCCGGGGGGUCUCGCCGCGGGGGGCUGUUGGGCGCCGGGGGCAGCGCAGCCGCGGGGUGGGCGCUGUUCCCCCCCGAAGCGGGGCUGGGGGGGGGGGCUGCCGGCGCCGGGGCUCUGCCCCCCCGCUCUGCCGUGAGCUGCCCCUUGAUUUAACGGAGAGCAGAGGUGGAUUUAUCUCUGCCCCCCCGCCCCCCCGGGAGGAGCCGGUGGGUUCUGAGCGCGGGGGGGCGCGGGGCCGCCCCGGCCGGGCACGGCUCCAGCCCGGCGCAGAGGGCGGCGCGGGUUAAGCAUUAACCCACCCCGAGCUCCCCUGGAAACCGGCUAAAGGACCGACUAAACCAGGAAAAUGUGAGGAGGGGGACGCGCAGCGCUCCCUCUGGGCUGGGCUGCGUGUCACGCCUCCUGUGGGGCGGCAGGAAGGGGCUGCAGAGCUGGGGGCAGCCGGGCUCCUGCUGCCCCCCUUGGUGUGGGCGCAGCCCCCCGCUGCUGGGCCUUCUCAAAGGCUCCUUAUCGCGGGCUUGAGCCGCGCUUUGCUCUGCCUCCUGGAGCGAUGUUCACGUUAAAAGAGCGUGUUAUUUAUAGGGGGAAAAUAUGGAAAGUUUAGCUGUCCCCUGACUCCGUAACGCUCACAGCUUUCCGGCCGGUGGAAGUUUUGUUUCCUUUUUAUUCUCUCCCUCUCUCAUCUUGCGUGGGCUUUUGCCAAAUGUUUUAUUAUUCACAGUGAAUUAUUUGGCCAGAUGUAGCUGUAAUACGUAUUGUGAGCUUUUGGCAGCCCUUUUAAAUUUAUGAGUGCAUUCUCCCUACUUGUCAACUGGUCAGAUUUCCAGGGAAGUUCCUCUCCCCACUAUGCCGAGCCCUCCCUGGGGUGGUGGGGCGCUGGGACAGGGGCUUCACUCCUGUCCGACCCACCCGGCGCCAUGCUCAGGCUGAGCAUCUCCCCCAGCCCACUGCAGGUGCGUGGGUCGAGCCGGAGAGUUGCUUGGAUGUGCUUUGAAACAUCCCUGCGCGAUGGAAGGCCAUCCCUGCGGAGACCAGGAGAACUCGCUGCACCUCGGAGGGUUGUGCUAAGCUCAGCCCUGUGCAGGGAUGCAAGACCUCCCGGCCUGUGGGGAUGGAGGGGGUGUCCAGGUGUGCAGGAGGUGGCCGUGGGGUGCAGUUUAACCCCAUUCGUGUUCCUGCCGCACCGGGUCUGUUCGUGGCACCGGUGUGAGUGUCCCAGCGGGCUGCAAACUGGGGGAAACCAUAUUCUAGUGAAGGGCACCAAGCACGCAUUAAGCGCAGAUAAUCUUCCAGUUAAUUAAGCAAAUCAUUUGAAGCUGCCAUUUCAAGGCAAGAGGAAUAACAACUUAAGGGGGGCCGUGGGAGGCUUGUAUCCACCCCUCUUUAAUUAAAGGAGCUAGCGACUGUCACAGCCAUUUCUGCCACAGCCAGUGCCAGGGAGAGGCCUGACUGAACCCUGUUUCGCAUGAUUCCGCCUCGCCUGUGGCAUAUUGAGACACGCAGGUACUUUUUCUUUUCUAUUUUCUUUGUCUCUGAGGGCACUGAUGAGGAACUAUGCGCUGCAGUACAGAAAAUCAGUAAGGAGAGGUAAACAGCGUUGAACUCUUCAACUGUUGCUGCAGCACGUGUGAAAGCUCGGUGCAAUUGCAUUAGGGCACCUCGCUGCUUGAUUUCCUGUCUGGCAUCGCUGGAGGGAUCGGGCUCAGAAUAUCCUUGGUGACCAGGGUGGAGUCUGCAGCCUCUUUCUCUCUGAAAUGAUCAUGAUCAAAUAAAUUGCCUGUUGCCACCUGUGAAA